GCAUUGGUAGUUCAGUGGUAGAAUUCUCGCCUCCCGUGCAGGAGACCUGAGUUCGAUUCCCAGUCAGUGCA
rfam:Loxodonta africana unplaced genomic scaffold scaffold_7, whole genome shotgun sequence.